rnacentral:misc_RNA from 1 species
GUUAUGAAGAGGAAAGUUGCACUGCUAGUGAUGUGGUGAAGUUUCGUUGGCUUGAGCAGCAAUUUGAUACAAUAAUGAAGUCUCUAAAGCUGGCUGAGACAGAGACAGAUAUUAAUGAUUUGGACAUGAAGUUUAUGUUGCAUUUUCCUCCACCUGAAGAGGGCGUCGUAAGCAAAUUCAAGUUGCCAAAAAGGAGAUCAGAAUACAGUAACUGUAGCAAGGCUGGACUAUGGAAGCUUGCAAGGAAGUUUGGAUGCAGUUCUGAGCAAUUUGGAUUGCAUCUUACACUAGAAAAAGUGGGAAUGGAAUUUUGGGAAGAUCCUGUUGAAUCUCCAGACGUAAUGGCUUCAGAUUUUACAUGUCCAAUGUUUGAAACUCCUGAAGCAGUGCUUAACGGUGCUAGGUUCAUGGCUGCAAUGGAGAUAAGCUGUGAGCCAUGUGUCAGGAAACAUGUUCGUAGAAUUUUUAUGGAUAAAGCUGUAGUAUCCACCUGCCCAACCCAAGAAGGAGACAAGACAAUAGAUUCUUUUCAUCUAUUUUAUGGGGUUAAGUGGCUGAGAGACAAGCCACUUGACCAAUUUCAA